rnacentral:rRNA from 1 species
GGGACCGAAGCGGGGGCUGGCUCGCCCUCCCUCGCCUCGGCCCCAAAGUCGUGGCGUUAAGCCCCGCAACAAACAAACCCCGGCGCGAGAAGCGCCAAGGAAUACUCAAAAUGAGGGCAUGCCUCUGCCCGCUCCCGUCCGCGGGUCUCGGGUUGAGGAGAUUGUCCCCCAUUCGAAAAUUAAAACGACUCUCGGCAACGGAUAUCUCGGCUCUCGCAUCGAUGAAGAACGUAGCGAAAUGCGAUACUUGGUGUGAAUUGCAGAAUCCCGUGAACCAUCGAGUCUUUGAACGCAAGUUGCGCCCGAAGCCAUCAGGCCGAGGGCACGUCUGCCUGGGCGUCACGCAUCGCGUCGCCCCCCCGCCCCGCGCCCCCGAAAGGGGACGUCGUCGGGCGUGCGGGGGCGGAUUGUGGCCUCCCGUGACCGAAGUCGCGGUUGGCCGAAAUGCGAGUCCCGCGCGACGGACGUCACGACAAGUGGUGGUUGAUGAAUCAACUCGCGUGUUGUCGUGCUGGCCCCCGUCGCGUUUGCGAGACUGAAUCGACCCUCAAGCGUCGUCGGCCCCCUUCCCCUACUUACUAGGACGGAGGGAGCCCCGAGCUACGACCGCGACCCCAGGUCAGGCGGGACUACCCGCUGAGUUUAAGCAUAUCAA